rnacentral:rRNA from 1 species
UGCGAAGGCAAGCGGAUCUCUUAAAGCUGUUCUCAGUUCGGACUGCAGUCUGCAACUCGACUGCACGAAGCUGGAAUCGCUAGUAAUCGCGGAUCAGCACGCCGCGGUGAAUACGUUCCCGGGCCUUGUACACACCGCCCGUCACACCAUGGAAGUCUGCAAUGCCCGAAGCCGGUGGCCUAACCACUUAUGUGGAAGGAGCCGUCUAAGGCAGGGCAGAUGACUGGGGUGAAGUCGUAACAAGGUAAC